CCAGCAGGGCAGCAACCCCCCUACAAGUCUGAGCGCCUCAGGCCCUGGAAACGGUGUUCCCAGCUGGCUGUCAUGGCAACAGCAGGCUUGGGAAAGUAUUCAUCAUGGUCUGGACAGAUUUCUCCAGCUUGCACUUGCUCUUUCUUCUCCCUAAGUGGCUAAUUGAGGGAGCUGUGCGCCUCCUUCGUGGAAGCUCUGGCUGCUUGCCCAAGCACUCAUCCUGGGAAGCAGGCCCGCAGCGGUCAGAUGGGAAAACUGAGGCUUGAUCAAACCACUUGACCACGUCAUGCAGCCAGAAAGCAGGAAAGCUGAGACCCUAGCUUGCGUCUGUCCGCCUACAGCUCCCACGGCCUCUGGGGGCAGCUCUGCCGUGCUCAGAGCGGGGCUUUGGGGUUCAGCACGCUCAAGGCCCAACGUGUCCCCGCCACUCUACGUUCUGCAGCACCUGCUUCUAGAGCAGCUGGAUUUCUCCUGGGUCCCGGGAUCCACUCUGGUGAUCAUCUUGCACCAUUGUUUUUGAAGCGUGUACACAAAAGCAGAGGGAUCACAUCUGUGACCCGGCCUCAACUGCUGGGUGUGACUCCCAAGGGCUCCCCUUGGAAGAGGACCCUCGAUGGAGCUCGCUGGGCCCCCCACUGCAGGGAGAUGGGGAGUCCCGAGGAGGCUGGGUGGCCCUCUGUGUUCCCAGAGUGCACUGGGAGUUGGCUGGGCCCCACUGGGAUUAUGGAAAGGAAGGGAAUUGGCAUUUAAAAGUGCCUGCUGUGUCACAGGAACUCUGGUGCGUGUGUGCAUUUAAUCUCCACGACAACUCUUUAUGGGGGGACAUUGGUAUCACCCCAUAUAUAGAGGGAGAAGCUGACCUAUGAAGAUCAGGUCAUUUGACCCCAGGGCAAGCAGGACUUCAACCCCCAUGUAACUGGCCCCAAAAUCUGUCUGCUUCAUGUUGCAUCCUGUGACCUCGAGGGCGCUAGCUGCUGCUCUAGCUCAUGCUCCUGGCGCCCAGGUCAGCCUCAAAGCAGGGAGUCCACAAGGCCGCUUCCUCCUCGGGGCUCCCUCACCCCCACGGGAGAUGAGCACCUUUUACCCUCUUUUUUAUCCCUCUUUUCCCAUUCUCCCGACCCUCCCGAACCCAACCACGGAGAAGACCAGGAGCCAGAGGCAAAGGACCAGAAGCCAGAGCGCAGCUCUCACCCCAGCGUCCUCCAGCCGCAGGCAGAGGAGCAGAAGGGGUCUGAGUGCAAAGGGGGAAUCACCAGGGAAGCCAGGGGACCCGAGUCCUGUCCUCAAGCCCACCUCGGCACAGGCGGCGCCCCCUCCAGACCUUCCUCCCUCAGCUCGGCUUCCCGGGGAAGCUCUCCUGUCUGCAGGCCCUGCUGGGACCCCAGAGGAAGGGGGGGAGUAAGCGCCCUCAGGAUGAGCUCUUGCCUGCAUGGGGCCUCCUCCUCGCUGCCAGCAGGACACCUAAGCUCGCUCUGCCUGGGAGCUUGGAAUCAAUCCGUAGGGGGUAGCUUGCAGCCCUGGGAGGAGCAAGGGAGUGGCCAGAGGCCUCCGCUCUGCUCUCAGCUCUGUCCCAACGGGCUGGACGAUCCUGAGCACCGCACCAGCCUUUCUGGGCUGACUUCCCGCUGGCAAGCACGGGCCCAAUUGGCCCCCUGGAAUAUUCUGCAUGGCUUGUGCAGCUGUGGGAAGUCUUCCGCAUGGCCCUCCCCAACCCCAAGCCCGUCCACCAGCGCCCUCGCAGGUCCUCACCCGCCCGCCGCCAGCCGGCGAGGAGCACGAGGCAGUCGGUGUGCUGCUGUUAGGAGGCCUUUUCAGGCAGCAAGUCGGACCGAUGGGGACAAACGCUGGGAUGCCCGGGCCCCCACGCGUGGCUCACGUAAGAACAGCCCACCUCUCUUCCCCGCUCUCUUUGCUCCUGCUCUUUAACAACCACUCGGUCAAGUAACACGUAUGAGGUGGCCGUGUCCGCAGCGCGCAGCGUCGAAAUGCCUCCCGAGCGGAGCGGCGAGGCCCUCGUCCAGGAGGAACCUGCGACUCCGAGGCUGCAACCCAGGCAGAAGCACGAAGGGAGCCUGCUGCCCGCGCAGCCGGACGACAGAGGAUUUCUCAACGCCCCUUACCGCCUCCUCUGCCCACGGUCACUGUUACCCACCCCCGGGAGCCGCGAUCUGCCUCGUGCUUCUGACCCAGGGGGGAAAUCGGGGUGCUCCAGGCGUCCGUCCCCUCUCCUGCCGGGCCCCACCUUCCUACCUGCGUGCGCUCACCUGGUUUCCACGAGUCGGCGCCGCGAAGGCGAGGUCCAGAGGCUGGGAUGCGGCCCUUGUGUGUUGGAGCCAACGAGGAGGCCCCACUCGGACUCGGGGGGAUGCCUGACGGAGGCGGCUCCUCCCUGUGGGGUCCCUUGGCUGCAGGUGUCCCUGCUCGCGGAGCUUUCCCUGAAUGCCCUCGCUAAGCCUCUUAGAGGGCAAGUGCUACUUGCUGCCUCACUCUCCUUUUGUCCCGGACGCCUCAACAUCUGCUCCAUGAAUAAUAGCUUCUCUAGGGCCCUUCAUAAUUUACAAGGUGCUUCACCCGUAUUUUCUCAUUUAAUCUUCUCAGCAACGCCGUGAGAUGGGAUUAUCGUUGCUCCUUCCUUCCAGAUAAGGACCUGAGGCUCAGAGAGACGUCGCGAGGGGCCCAGGACCCCACAGCUGGACCCAGGCGAUCCCACUCGGACAGGACUGAGCGCUUUCGGCCCGAGAUGCUUCCUCAUGGUCUUCUCCAUGACGUCAGGAGACCCCGCUUCCCGCCUGGAUCCCCAUCCUCCUGUGAGUCCCAGCAUCCAGUUCUCACUGGGUCUCCCGCGCUGCCUGAGAGCCCAGGGAUCAGACACAAGACACAGGACGCAGCGGCAGCGUGGGAACAGAUGGACGAGAGGCGAGGGCUCCGCUGGUGCCCACCCGGCCCCGCUGGUCUCACGGCCCGACCCAUGCUAUGUCCUCGGGGGACGGCUGGAAACACACGGCGGGCUUUGGAGGGCUUGUUAGUUUGGGUUUGGUGAUGUUUCUGGU